rnacentral:rRNA from 1 species
GGCGAGCGAACGGGGAGCAGCCCAGAGCCUGAAUCAGUGUGUGUGUUAGUGGAAGCGUCUGGAAAGGCGCGCGAUACAGGGUGACAGCCCCGUACACAAAAAUGCACAUGCUGUGAGCUCGAUGAGUAGGGCGGGACACGUGGUAUCCUGUCUGAAUAUGGGGGGACCAUCCUCCAAGGCUAAAUACUCCUGACUGACCGAUAGUGAACCAGUACCGUGAGGGAAAGGCGAAAAGAACCCCGGCGAGGGGAGUGAAAAAGAACCUGAAACCGUGUACGUACAAGCAGUGGGAGCCUCUUUAUGGGGUGACUGCGUACCUUUUGUAUAAUGGGUCAGCGACUUAUAUUCUGUAGCAAGGUUAACCGAAUAGGGGAGCCGAAGGGAAACCGAGUCUUAACUGGGCGUUAAGUUGCAGGGUAUAGACCCGAAACCCGGUGAUCUAGCCAUGGGCAGGUUGAAGGUUGGGUAACACUAACUGGAGGACCGAACCGACUAAUGUUGAAAAAUUAGCGGAUGACUUGUGGCUGGGGGUGAAAGGCCAAUCAAACCGGGAGAUAGCUGGUUCUCCCCGAAAGCUAUUUAGGUAGCGCCUCGUGAAUUCAUCUCCGGGGGUAGAGCACUGUUUCGGCAAGGGGGUCAUCCCGACUUACCAACCCGAUGCAAACUGCGAAUACCGGAGAAUGUUAUCACGGGAGACACACGGCGGGUGCUAACGUCCGUCGUGAAGAGGGAAACAACCCAGACCGCCAGCUAAGGUCCCAAAGUCAUGGUUAAGUGGGAAACGAUGUGGGAAGGCCCAGACAGCCAGGAUGUUGGCUUAGAAGCAGCCAUCAUUUAAAGAAAGCGUAAUAGCUCACUGGUCGAGUCGGCCUGCGCGGAAGAUGUAACGGGGCUAAACCAUGCACCGAAGCUGCGGCAGCGACGCUUAUGCGUUGUUGGGUAGGGGAGCGUUCUGUAAGCCUGCGAAGGUGUGCUGUGAGGCAUGCUGGAGGUAUCAGAAGUGCGAAUGCUGACAUAAGUAACGAUAAAGCGGGUGAAAAGCCCGCUCGCCGGAAGACCAAGGGUUCCUGUCCAACGUUAAUCGGGGCAGGGUGAGUCGACCCCUAAGGCGAGGCCGAAAGGCGUAGUCGAUGGGAAACAGGUUAAUAUUCCUGUACUUGGUGUUACUGCGAAGGGGGGACGGAGAAGGCUAUGUUGGCCGGGCGACGGUUGUCCCGGUUUAAGCGUGUAGGCUGGUUUUCCAGGCAAAUCCGGAAAAUCAAGGCUGAGGCGUGAUGACGAGGCACUACGGUGCUGAAGCAACAAAUGCCCUGCUUCCAGGAAAAGCCUCUAAGCAUCAGGUAACAUCAAAUCGUACCCCAAACCGACACAGGUGGUCAGGUAGAGAAUACCAAGGCGCUUGAGAGAACUCGGGUGAAGGAACUAGGCAAAAUGGUGCCGUAACUUCGGGAGAAGGCACGCUGAUAUGUAGGUGAAGCGACUUGCUCGUGGAGCUGAAAUCAGUCGAAGAUACCAGCUGGCUGCAACUGUUUAUUAAAAACACAGCACUGUGCAAACACGAAAGUGGACGUAUACGGUGUGACGCCUGCCCGGUGCCGGAAGGUUAAUUGAUGGGGUUAGCGGUAACGCGAAGCUCUUGAUCGAAGCCCCGGUAAACGGCGGCCGUAACUAUAACGGUCCUAAGGUAGCGAAAUUCCUUGUCGGGUAAGUUCCGACCUGCACGAAUGGCGUAAUGAUGGCCAGGCUGUCUCCACCCGAGACUCAGUGAAAUUGAACUCGCUGUGAAGAUGCAGUGUACCCGCGGCAAGACGGAAAGACCCCGUGAACCUUUACUAUAGCUUGACACUGAACAUUGAGCCUUGAUGUGUAGGAUAGGUGGGAGGCUUUGAAGUGUGGACGCCAGUCUGCAUGGAGCCGGCCUUGAAAUACCACCCUUUAAUGUUUGAUGUUCUAACGUUGGCCCCUGAUCGGGGUUGCGGACAGUGUCUGGUGGGUAGUUUGACUGGGGCGGUCUCCUCCUAAAGAGUAACGGAGGAGCACGAAGGUUGGCUAAUCCUGGUCGGACAUCAGGAGGUUAGUGCAAUGGCAUAAGCCAGCUUGACUGCGAGCGUGACGGCGCGAGCAGGUGCGAAAGCAGGUCAUAGUGAUCCGGUGGUUCUGAAUGGAAGGGCCAUCGCUCAACGGAUAAAAGGUACUCCGGGGAUAACAGGCUGAUACCGCCCAAGAGUUCAUAUCGACGGCGGUGUUUGGCACCUCGAUGUCGGCUCAUCACAUCCUGGGGCUGAAGUAGGUCCCAAGGGUAUGGCUGUUCGCCAUUUAAAGUGGUACGCGAGCUGGGUUUAGAACGUCGUGAGACAGUUCGGUCCCUAUCUGCCGUGGGCGCUGGAGAACUGAGGGGGGCUGCUCCUAGUACGAGAGGACCGGAGUGGACGCAUCACUGGUGUUCGGGUUGUCAUGCCAAUGGCACUGCCCGGUAGCUAAAUGCGGAAGAGAUAAGUGCUGAAAGCAUCUAAGCACGAAACUUGCCCCGAGAUGAGUUCUCCCUGAGACUUUAAGUCUCCUGAAGGAACGUUGAAGACGACGACGUUGAUAGGCCGGGUGUGUAAGCGCAGCGAUGCGUUGAGCUAA